rnacentral:rRNA from 1 species
GACGAACGCUGGCGGCGUGCUUAACACAUGCAAGUCGAACGGAAAGGCCCUGCUUUUGUGGGUGGCUCGAGUGGCGAACGGGUGAGUAACACGUGAGUAACCUGCCCUUGACUUUGGGAUAACUUCAGGAAACUGGGGCUAAUACCGGAUAGGAGCUCCUGCUGCAGGGUGGGGGUGGGAAAGUUUCGGCGGUUGGGGAUGGACUCGCGGCUUAUCAGCUUGUUGGUGGGGUAGUGGCUUACCAAGGCUUUGACGGGUAGCCGGCCUGAGAGGGUGACCGGCCACAUUGGGACUGAGAUACGGCCCAGACUCCUACGGGAGGCAGCAGUGGGGAAUAUUGCACAAUGGGCGGAAGCCUGAUGCAGCAACGCCGCGUGCGGGAUGACGGCCUUCGGGUUGUAAACCGCUUUCGCCUGUGACGAAGCGUGAGUGACGGUAAUGGGUAAAGAAGCACCGGCUAACUACGUG